UGAUUGCUGGCAUUUGAACUCAGGACCUUCCGAAGAGCAGUCAGUGCUCUUAACCACUGAGCCAUCUUUCCAGCCUGAAGUAUUUUUUUUUAAUAUAAUCAAAUGUACAAAGAUUUAAAAUUGUGCUUGUGGAAAAAAAUUCAUUAGUUAAAAAUGAAGACUGUGCACUGAUAGAUAGAUAGAUAGAUAGAUAGAUAGAUAGAUAGAUGAAUAAGAUAGAUAUAUACAUAGAUAUAUAGAUACAUAGAUAUAGAGAUACAGAGAUACAGAGAUACAUAGAUGAAUAAAAUAUAUAUCUAACCUCGUUUUUCAAUCAUUCUAAAGCUUUAGCUGUUUGGCAAACUCUGUCAUAGAAGAAAACUGUCAUGUUCUGUAAUGAAACACCAUAUAAUAUUUAAAAAUGUAUCCAAUCUUCAUAUUUACAAGUCUUAUUUUGAUAUUGAGCAACCUUAAAUUGGCAAGUUGUCUAGCAUCUCUUCCUGAGAUUGUUUCACCAUAAACUGUAAAGCAUGAUGGAUGAGCUCUUGCAGGCAAGGCCAAGGGACAACAUUUUCAGUAUUUGAUUACUGCUAUUGGUAUGCUUUUCUUGUCAUAAUUAAACUAAAUAAUAAUCUGUGGGCAUUUACCCAGCUAAUUGACCAGACUUUCCACAGAUCAAUGAAGAUGUACUGACCUGUAGUGAUGGUAUAUAGGCAAACAGAUGAUUUCUUAGUACCUAAUGGUGAUUCCAUAAUAAUUCCUAAAAUUGUAUUGGUAAUAUAAAGCCCUUAUUAUAGGACUGCUAUUAAAUUUUUGUAUAAUAUAAAAUCUGCUGUUAGCACUCUGACAGGAUUCACUGUGUCAUGAGUUUUUUCUGAGAUACAAAGAAGCAGUUACAACUUAAAUACAUUUCAUGGAGCUGUAAAACCAUUAACCAAAGGUCAUAAGAAGAAAUGAAUGGUUUAUUGUAGGUCCAAGGACAGAAGAAAAAAUAAUUCAUGAGUAGGUCACAGAGUGAAGUUCUGCUUUCUGGGUCACCAUUAUAAAGAAGGACACAGUGGGGACACAGUGAGUGAUUGAAUAAUUUCUAAGGUUGUAUUAAAUCAUGACAUAAAUGAAGGCAUACCAGACUGGAAGAUAUAUAACUUAGCGAAUUUCACGUGGCCCAUAGUAUAUUGAAUUUCUUAUUAGGGAACUCUCCUAUGAAGGUAUGUGCAAUAUUGGUUGACCCUAAUAUGUCACCACAGAGGUGUGAGAAAGGACAUUUACUGAUAGUAGCAGCUUGCUAUCAGUUACAGAUCUCAGGAGCUAACCUUGUGUAGAGGGGCAGAGUCACUCAGUGUCUUAUUGAUGGUUCUCCCUCCACCAGAUACAGGCCUACUGCUUUUCAAAGGCAAUAUAGCUAAGUGUUUUUCUAAGCUGAGCCUUGACUGAGCGAGAAGGAAAUAAGAAGGAAAAGAGACCAUUGAGUGAGAGUCCUCCAACCUACCUGAAAUUUAUUGUGGAAUUAAAACUGACGAGGAACACAUGAAGAAAUUGAGAUGACUGACCAACAUUGAAGCAAAAGAAGUCCAGCACAGGAAGGGAGCUUAGGAAGAAAGUUGAAAGCUUUUGUACUUUGACAGCAGUUUGGAUUACUCAGGUGACCAAAUAUAGCUGACAGACCAAUGUCCUGACUGCCAUUUCCUAGGGUUCUCAGACUGGAGCAAUCCGAAAUCAGAAGAAAGAACUGAACUUAUUGUGAAAUAUAAUUUCUGUAGUUCAAGCAAAACAGAGGUUGUGGACAAACUAGUGUGUCCAUGUCCAACAGGAUUGUUAUUUCUCCUGGCUGAAAAUGUGAAGCCUGAGAGAAAAAGUACAAAAUUACUGGAGACAAACUAAGCACCUUAUCCCAAGUGCACGUAAGAUUGCUGUGUAUAUAAUCAGUUGGCUCUCACAAUACAUCUUCUCCAAACUAACUAUAGAAAGAAAUGAACAUUGAAAUAAAUCUCUGUAAUAUCUACUGAAGCAAAAGAAAAAUACCAUCCUUGCAAGUUAUGAAUUCCGUACUGAGCUCGUAUAUGGGAACUGAAGGAAUACUGGCAGCAGAGUAAGUUCCAGGACAGCCUGAGCUAUACAGAGAAACCCUCUCUUGAAACUUCAACACCCCCCCCCCCAAAAGAUGCCAAAAAUAUAAACUGGAGAAGAAAAAUAACUUAACAAAUACUCCUGGGAAAACUGAAUGUCCACAUGCAAGAGACCAACCAUACUUAGACAGGUUAAUUUUAAAAUGCUUCAUAGAAGAUGAUAUCACAUAUAUGAAAUACCUAGUGUGUAUAUAGAAAAUACCAUUUUCAUCUGUCUAAUAUACAUAUAUAUUAGAAUAUUCAGCAAUCUACUGUAUAUCUCAUAUCACACCUUGAUAUGCUAUGGAUAUAUAUAUAUAUGUGUGUGUGUGUGUAUUUAUAUACAUAUAUAUUAAUUAUUGGAUGCUGCUUCUUCAUGUUGCAAUUACUUAUCCAGUUAGCACUCCAGGAAGAAUUGCAUUCUUAGGGAGUUACCUAGACAUGCCAAAUAAUAUUGUAAAUGCAAACUGAUUUAUUUUAAUAUAACCAUAAUGGUAGUGUGCAUGUGUGUGUGUGUGUGUGUGUGUGUGUGUGUGUCAUUGUAUGUGUGUCUUUUUGUGUAAUGUGGUUAUGGGUUUGUAGUCCAUGACAGAUAUAUGUGAAGUAGAAGAAAAUUUUGUGGGGACACUUUGGCUUAAUUAUAUGGUGGUCAAGGUCAGGCUGCCAGCAUUCCACACCAUAGGCAUUUAUUUUCCCAAUGAGGCAUCUCAUGUGCAAUCACAUAAGAUUAGUAGGAACAUUAAUUCAGUAAAAUAUUAUCUCCUACUCACAUAGUGAUCUUGUCUAGAAUAUUGUCAUAUAAGGAUAGAAGGAACACAAAGGAAAUUUAAUAAAAAUUUCUUUUAGAUUUUUGAGA